GACGAACCGUGCAAACGUUGUUCGGAAUCACUGGGCUUAAAGGGUGUGUAGGCGGGCCAGCCAGUCUGUGGUGAAAGCCUCCAGCUUAACUGGAGAAGUGCCAUGGAUACUGCGGGCCUCGAGGAGGGUAGGGGCAUCUGGAACGGUCGGUGGAGCGGUGAAAUGCGUUGAUAUCGACCGGAACUCCGGUGGCGAAGGCGAGGUGCUGGGCCCUUUCUGACGCUGAAACACGAAAGCCAGGGGAGCAAACGGG
rnacentral:rRNA from 1 species